GUAUUAUACAACUUUUAAACAUAAACUGAAAUAAUUUAAUGAGAGGUAAUACAUUUCACAUGAACUGGAAAACGAGUAUUUAUGAGACUUGAACAUAAUUUGUAGUGUAAUACACAGCUUUCUUGGAUAAAUAAACCCUAGUAAAGCUUCAUUCUCUACCUACCAAGCUUUACUUUUCUGCCCACUAAGGGGUACCAUGGCUUUGAUUGCCAUGGUCUUUUGGGGCUUGCCAUAUUCAUGAAUCUUACUAGUACAUUAUUUCAAAAGGUUGUUGAAUGAAGAUUUUGUAAUGACAUUAAAUAACAUUAUGUAAUCUGUAGAAUAUUUUGAAUAUAGCCAAAUUAAAAAUAGUGGACAAUGAUGGUAACUUCUAACUUUAUCUCUUGGAAAGUCUUACCUGUGGCUGAGGAAACUGCCUUUAAUAUGGUUCUCUCUGGAGCCUCCUGCAUAUGUCAGCCUCAUUCAAUGAUCUUCAACUAUACUCCACUGUCAUCCAUGUUAGUAGUUAUUUUCGAGCAAAAAGUGUAUUUUAUUCCUCUUGGACACUUACUUAUUCUUUCUUGGCUUAAAUAUCUUUUUUAUAAAGUAUGACUUAUAUGAGUAUUUUGAGAAUUAAAUGAGAUCAUACAUAUAAAACAUUUAAUACAUUGCUUGUUGUAAAUAUAAUAAAUAUAUAUGGUGUUUAUUAUAACAUUUAUUAAAUGUUUAUUAUAACAUGUAUUAAAUGUUUAUUAUAUGCCAGAUGAUGCUAAGGGCAGCAAGAAGGCCCUUAAGUGAUCCUGGUUAGUGAUUCUUUAAAUUUUGUCUCAUUUUAAGAAUGAGGACAAUUAAACACCCUCACUAAGCAAGAUCUUUUCU
rnacentral:lncRNA from 1 species